rnacentral:rRNA from 1 species
GACGCAGAACAGGAUAAAGGAGACUUGGGUGAGGCUACCUCUAUGGACAUCGAUCCUCUUGACUAUGUCUACUCGAACCUCCCUGGUAGCACACACAUCCUUAAGCAUGCCGCGAACUGCGAGCACUGCAAGGCCAAGAAAUUUGAGUCCAAAUCCCCUGGCUUCUGCUGUCACAAUGGGUUGAUUGAGCUGAAGGAACCAGAGCCCAUCCCAGAGCUAAUGAGGCUUUGGUCUAGCUCAGAUGCAAACUCUAGGCAUUUUCGGGAGAACAUACGGUUCUUCAACGGCCACUUCUCCUUCACAACCCUCGGUGUCAGCCUCAACGAAAACUACCCAAACAUGAAAUCAGGGGUGUACACGUUCUGGGCGCACGACACCAUCUACCACAACGUUCAUUCCUUCGGCCCAAGCUCCCGUCCAGAGCAUAUUUAG